AUUGGACGCUGGCGGCAUGCUUUACACAUGCAAGCCGAACGGUAACAGGCCGCAAGGUGCUGACGAGUGGCGAAUGGGUGAGUAAUGCAUCGGAACGUGCCCAGUCGUGGGGGAUAACGCAGCGAAAGCUGCGCUAAUACCGCAUACGAUCUAUGGAUGAAAGCGGGGGACCGUAAGGCCUCGCGCGAUUGGAGCGGCCGAUGUCAGAUUAGGUAGUUGGUGGGGUAAAGGCUCACCAAGCCGACGAUCUGUAGCUGGUCUGAGAGGACGACCAGCCACACUGGGACUGAGACACGGCCCAGACUCCUACGGGAGGCAGCAGUGGGGAAUUUUGGACAAUGGGGGCAACCCUGAUCCAGCGAUGCCGCGUGCAGGAAGAAGGCCUUCGGGUUGUAAACUGCUUUUGUACGGAACGAAACGGCUCUGGUUAAUACCUGGGGCUAAUGACGGUACCGUAAGAAUAAGCACCGGCUAACUACGUGCCAGCCGCCGCGGUAACAC
rnacentral:rRNA from 1 species